AUGGUGAUGAAGGCCGAGCUUCAGGCCUCCAACCAAACACACCUUCGGCAGGUCUCGAGGCAAAAUUUGGUCAGGGUGGCAACCAAGCAGCCCUUCUCCAAACAUAGUUUCAGAACUGUGUAUCGAAGGUGCAGGCGUGACAGGCGCCUCCACGCGGCGGCGAUCAUGGCCGCGGCCCUCCGCCCCCUGCUCCGCCGGCACGCAGUUCUGCCGCCAUCUUCGAUGCUGCGCUGUCUAUUCCCCGCGCCGUACUCCAAGGCCGCCGCCAGACCCCCAGCCGUGUGCCACGCGCCCCUGCCGCCUCCCCUUCUGAGGGAGGUUACGCCAAGGAGGGCUCCUCCAAUUCCAAAGGGUGAACCACGCCGCUGCACUGCUGUUCAAAGUACAAAGUCGUUGCUGGAUAAACUGAAGGAUCUCAAGGACAGUAAGAAGCCACUGGACAACAUGGAAAAGAAUAUUAAGGAGCGUAGGGAAAUGAUAAAGAAAGCGCUGCAUGACUCUAGGGUUGCUAAUUCUAUGUUUAGGGUAAGACUGGAUGGCCUUAGGAAACUUCUUGCCAAUAUACCGCAGAUUGGAGGAUGA
rnacentral:rRNA from 1 species